UUCUAAAUACGAAGUUUUGCCACUCUAGGAGCUGCCUAAGAAAAACACAGCACGCCUUCUGCUUCCUAAAUAACACAUACUCUGCACAUUUCGUUGCCUGUGUGAAAUAAAUUCCCCCAUGCUCUUAUAUGGAAACCUUGCCAGUCCUCCCACAUGCCUCCCGCUACAGUAUCAGGCAGGGAUGGGCAUUCUUUAUCUUAAAGCCACUGGGUGAAUUUUGGAGCCAAUACCCCAAGACAACCCAGAAUUAUCAUCCCUUCGCAGCACGCCGAGCUCGGCAACCUGCCCUGGGCUGUCCCUGCGUUUUAUUUCCAAGUCUCAAUCGAGACUUACGAUUUCAGCAUCAAGAAUCGACACGGUAAAAGGAAAACGAGGGGAAUAAAAAGAAGCAGCUGUGUUCGCCGCCGGGAAGGCCCAUUAGCAUCAGCUGUAGCAUCGCCUCUUCACUCGAGGCCAGAAAAAAACACAGCAGGGAGGGGUGGGGAUGCGAGAGAAAAAGGGAAAAAAUAGCCGGGGAGAGAAGCGUGCUCCGAAGCCGCGCCGGAGGGCCGCCAGCACGAGGGGAACCGCUGCGAACUGUUAUCGGCAAAAAAAAGAAAAGUUAACGCAAGCUUCACGUUGGAAGGCAUCCUUUGGUGAAGGCAGCGAGCAUUUUGUGAGCCUCCAUGAGGACCACAAGCGCAGGUGGCUUUGGCCGCACCAGGGAACAAAGCAAACAUUUCUCACCAGUGCAGCCGCUUGUUCAGUCGCAGUGAGAAUGGCUCGAUGGAGAUUAGGAACCGGCAGUCACAUUGGUGAAAUUUCUAUUGAUUUCAGUGUGCGCCGGCCCGUUCAGAGCGUGAUCAAGCCUAACCCUUUAAAAACUCCACCAUGAAGGCAGUAACCCAAACUUAACUAAGACAAGCCAAAAUCGUUCCAGUUACAGGGUUUAAAAAAGACACUGGGCCAAAUCCCUGGCUUGGCUACAACGUGUGGAAAUCUACUGAGAAUGCAUGGAAGUCAGAAGAUAUUUGCUGUAUUUGCAUGCAGUAAAAGAGGUCUCAGGGUGCAGGGAUGUGAGUGCUGAAUUUCACAGAUGGAUGCAUAUUAACACAAAUGUAUGGCAGAGUUAGACUGGAUUUCUGUCAGGAGAAAAACUUGUUUCUUUUCAAUGUGUGGCUGCUAAAGGGAGCACAAUGUUUCAUGGACUUGGGAUCAAGGUAGGGCAAGAACAAGGAGAAGGUUUGGCAAGGACUGGGAAGCUUCUAUAUAUAAACGUUGAAAUAAAAAGAAGGUUACAUAUAACCAGGCACAAAAUCCAGCAGAAUUCUAGGGAAUAAAAGAAGAAAGAAGAAUAUAAGCAACAAUGGCAAAAAGAUGGUUUUAAUAAGUCUAUCACAUUAAUGAUUCUCCAAAUUUCCUGUGCAAAGCUAUAUGGGAGGCAACUUUUGGAGUUCCCCUGUAUGGCAAAGGAUCCUGAGCUUGAAAAGGGAGGGGGCAGAUUUUGAGGGAUUUGUACAUCAUGCAGUGACUGUGGAUUGCAGAUUUUAAGCAUUACUAAACCAGGGAAUAGAAUUGCUGCUAUUGCUAUUAUAUACCAGGAUAGCUCACUAAUCCACACAAUCCACUAACUUGCUGGAGUUUUAACCUGUGUUUAUUUUAGAUGAAAUGAUGGCCUGUACAGUUAAUUUUUCUUCAUUUAUCCAUUUAAAUAAUAAAUAUAUCAAAUAGAAAUGAAAACACAAAUCGUGUUUUUGUUACACUCCUCAUCAUGUGAACCUGCUGGUGACAGAGCCCCACGCUAAGUUUAUAAGUUAAACACAAAGACAAAUGAAAAACUUUGAAGAGUACCCCCAUUGGCUUUAAAUUCUAUGAAGAAUGUGAUUUUAAUGCUACAGGUGACCUAUUUUGCUUAUGUUUGAGACUGCCUAGCCAUUAUGGGAUUGCCUCUGCUGGUCCUUUCCUUACAUCAAGCUCAUUAUCUAUUAACGUGAGGCAUGUCUGAAAGGCUGGAAGUGGUCCUUUCCAAACACCAGUCAAAUUUAGAAAUGCCUGUUCCUUUACAGGGGCCGAUUCCUAAAGUAAGGGGCAAACCCAGAGGAACCAAACAGCCUGGAAACAAAGUGGUCCUGCUGGCUUUUGGAAAAAGUGGAAUGCCUCAAGUUAAUUGAUGGUCAGCUACCAGGAAAUAAAAUCUCUCAAACAUCCAGAUUUUCAAGAGCUCCUGAGCAAUUUAAAGUCCUUGAAAGGAAUGUACUAUAGAAUGAAAAAUAUAGGCAUUAUUAAAGAAUGUCUCCUAACUGAAACCCAGCCAGUUUCAUAAAAAUGAGCUAACAACCAAUAACAGGUACUCUGUCUUCUGCUGGAUGCUGUAUGAACCGUAUGUUUUGUAUUUUUGAAGUCACUUCUAAAGCAAUUUUCUUUUUCUUCGCUGUUG